rnacentral:lncRNA from 1 species
UGUAAUAUAUGGAGAAAAUACUAUUGAUUGUGGUGGUCAUUAAUGUAACAAGAGGAUUCUGAUAUGGUUACAGAUUUGUUCCUAGAUGACUAACGGAAUCAUCUAGAAUUGAAAGUUCAUGCAACAAAAUUAAAUAUGAAGGUAUGUUUUGCCAUAUAAUUCCAAGAUUUGGAAAGAAACACUAGAAAAUUUCAGAUCUCUACCCAAAAAAGAUGACAUUUGUAGAAUUUUGAUGAAAAUUGAAAUAUUUAUUUUUCAAAGGGUAAUUUUUUUUUCAAGGCUUCUGAACUCCCAUAAGAAAUUUUUAGAUUUCUAAGCAAAGAAAGAUAACGAGAAUUGAAGGCUGCCACCAAUAAAAAUACAAAAUACUCUAAUGAAACUUAUAAAAAAAGAUAACAAAAAAAAGAAAAAAAACUGUUCAACUUCAAACUGAAUAUCCAAGAGGAAUUGGUAAAAUAGGAAGUAUGAACCUGCUAAAAGAAGAAUGAGAGCAUAUACUUUCUGAAACUAGAAUUUUGUGAUAUGCACAUUUCACAUAUGAAAGGUCAACGUUUAUUUGUUCAUUUUUUAGUAGAAGGACAAUGACAAUUGUUGCUUUCAUACCUAAUGAGGAUUAUCUAAAAGGUUCAAUUAUUGAAAAGUCAAACUAAGCAAACAAAAAGAAAGUUGUGAAGCCCUACAAUCAGUAUAAAUUCAAUAUUUAAAGAAAUAUGAUUAUCCCUCAUGCUUCCUGAAAAUCACAUUUCUGUGACAAACAACCCCUCAUAUCAAAUGAAUAAAGGGAAAUUGGUCACUUAAAAAUUUCCCAUUUCCUUUCAAGGUAUCAACUUGAGUUGCAGAAAAUGAAAUCAAACAUUCAAGACAAGAGAAUGCAUUUCCCAAUUCUAUUAAACUAGAUCACAAACCAUAUCGGGUACAGGUCCAAUAAGACCUGGCUGGUUCAUUGAUUAGAUAAAAUCUAGCAAAUUAAUUGCUUCAGUUUUAUAUUUCAACUGUAUAUGUACCGAUAUUUUGAUUCACUGUUGAUACUCUCCGUCUCUAUUCCCUCAACACAAUGUUUUUGAGAAAGUAUUUGUUGCUUUAAAAAGGGGAUUCCUGCCUUCACCACCCAAUCAAGAGGCAAAACCAAGCAGCUGGUUCAUGGUGGCAGGACCCAGUUCACCUAAUCAAACCGCCAAAGGAUCCGAUUUGGUUUUAAUAACAUAGGUUUACACAUGCAACCCACAUGCUCACAAACCAAAGAAAUAUGAAAAAUAAAGAAAAAGACCUGCACACUUUAAGAAGCCUCCUCCAGAGGAUUACUAUGACAUGUAACAUACAUGCAAAUGCCUACUUUUAGGAUUAGAGAAAAAAAAGAAGAAAAAAAAGCAUAGUUACCUACCUGCUCGUUAAAUAGGUUUUAUACGAAGGAUCCAGUAAGUGCCUUCUCAUAAUAGCACUUAUCUAUAACUAGAAGGUGCAAAACAAGAAUACAAAAAUAUUCAAAUUAAUUGCAAAAAUAAACAACCUAAUCUCUUCCUCAUUACAAUUACAGUAACAAUAAAUGGGAAGUCAUUUAUAUUCAUGGAUCUUCCAAAACUAUUCAAAUUACCAAUCUAUACCACACACUCAACCAAGAUGGGGCCCGAAAUCUAAUGAACAGACGAAAUGCUACAGGUUCCUCCAGUAUACCUGAAUUUAUUUAAAAUCACUAGGAGCUUUUAAUAAAAAAUUUUCAGGGCACAAACUACAAAAAAACAGGGCAAUUUCAGACAAGUUUGGGUAUGUUGGGAAUGUUACUGAAUCCUCUUAUAGCUUAAUUUUCCAAAACAGAGAUGC